ensembl:lncRNA
AGUCUUCACCUGGGUAGCACCAAGAUGGCAGUACCUGCUUUUGAAUGUCCCCUGAGUGUUUCUGGGGUUCUCUGAGGACAGUACACACACUCUGCAAUCCCUGCUGGGACUCACUGGUCACCUCGGCAGGCCAUCUGCUCUCACCUGGUUCUGUCAGCUGUGACCCAUCCCUCUCUACAGCUUCCAGGACCUCACUCCAUCUGGGGUGCCUGGCUCCCAACAGCACUCCACAAGGGAGAACAGGGUUUAGCCUAAGAGAAGACCCAGACUCUUGACACCUGAAAGUCCAUCUCCCAAGGAGAUAGCUUGGAAACAUUUACCCUUAUGUCACAUUUCAAGAGUUCCACCAGCACCUGUGGCCAGCGACCACCAUCCAUCUGUCUAUGAAAGCGGUGAAGAGAGGGGCGGGGGAAGCCGGGCUCCAAGAGCUUCAAAGAAAGAAGGUAUCUCAGCACCAGAGAAAAGAUGCUAAGCAGCAGAGGGAAGCUGAGAGAAUGUUCCGGCUGCCUCCCAACUCUUUGGUCUUUGGGACCUGGGAGAAACAGCAAGCUCUCUAUGAAACCCCUUUGCUUGGCAGAGAGCAGCGUUUCAGUUAAGACCUUUGACGAGCAAGUCUCUCCCGGUCCUGCUGGGGAGGCAUUUGGAAGUCUCCGUAGCCAGUUCCCAGUCCUGCUGUCCUUUACCUGCCUGGUG